UCUAUCCAUCAAGCCCGGCUUGUGUUGGGGCACUGCGGCUGCCGCAGGCCCCCAAAGGAAGUGGCGGGACCGUUGCCGUGCCGAGCGUAGUACAGCACCUCGCUCCGGCGCCGGCAGUGGCCUCCAGCCGUUAAAGCCCCUACUUUACGUACU
rnacentral:misc_RNA from 1 species